rnacentral:rRNA from 1 species
GGUUAGUCUGGCUCAGGAGUGAACGGCUGGUCGGCGUGCUUAACACAAUGCAAGUCAACGGGGUACGUACCAUUUUUGUAAGCGAUUAGCUUGCUAAGAGUGGGAAAGUAGUUGGUCGGGCGUUAGUGGCGGACGGGUGAGUAACGACGUGGGUAACCUGCCAUAUACAGGGGGAGUAACACUUAGAAAUAGGUGCUAAUACCGCAUAAGCGCACGGAGCUGCAUGGCUCAGUGUGAAAAACUCCGGUGGUAUAUGAUGGACCCGCGUCUGAUUAGCUUGUUGGCGGGGUAACGGGCCCGACCAAGGCGACGAUCAGUAGCCGGCCUGAGAGGGUGUACGGCCACAUUGGGACUGAGACACGGCCCAAACUCCUACGGGAGGCAGCAGUGGGGAAUAUUGGACAAUGGGGGGAACCCUGAUCCAGCGACGCCGCGUGAGUGAAGAAGUAUCUCGGUAUGUAAAGCUCUAUCAGCAGGGAAGAAAGAAAUGACGGUACCUGACCAAGAAGCCCCGGCUAACUACGUG